AACCCAUGAUUCGGGCAUUUUCUUAGCAUCAUUUUGAAUCUCUCCCAUGUCUCACAGAAAAAUUCAUUUGAUCCUUGUCUGAACAUAGAGAUUCCAGACUUUGCUU
rnacentral:snoRNA from 1 species